UCUACGGGGGGCAGCAGUGGGGAAUAUUGCACAAUGGGGGAAACCCUGAUGCAGCGACGCCGCGUGAGUGAAGAAGUAUUUCGGUAUGUAAAGCUCUAUCAGCAGGGAAGAAAAUGACGGUACCUGACUAAGAAGCCCCGGCUAACUACGUGCCAGCAGCCGCGGUAAUACGUAGGGGGCAAGCGUUAUCCGGAUUUACUGGGUGUAAAGGGAGCGUAGACGGCCAGACAAGUCAGAAGUGAAAGCCCAGGGAUCAACCCUGGGACUGCUUUUGAAACUGCCGGGCUGGAGUGCAGGAGAGGUAAGCGGAAUUCGUGGUGUAGCGGUGAAAUGCGUAGAUAUUAGGAGGAACACCAGUGGCGAAGGCGGCUUACUGGACUGUAACUGACGUUGAGGCUCGAAAGCGUGGGGAGCAAACAGGAUUAGAUACCCUUGUAGUC
rnacentral:rRNA from 1 species